rnacentral:tRNA from 1 species
GCCUGGCUGGUUCAGUGGGAAGAGCAUGGGACUCUUGAUCUUGGGUUGUGAGUUCAAGUCCCAUGUUGGGUA